GCCUGAGUAGCGUAGUAGGAUAGCGCGUCAGUCUCAUAAUCUGAAGGUCGUGAUUUCGAGCCUCACCUCGGGCA
rnacentral:tRNA from 1 species